GGAAGGAUCAUUAUUGCACUGAAAAGUCUCUUACGUGUGUCUGUCGUGUCCGGUAUUUUCGAUUAUGAAAAAUGGUUUAUUUCAACAUAUACAACAAUCAUGAGUCCAAGCAAUGGAUAUCUUGGUUCCCACAACGAUGAAGAACGCAGCGAAAUGCGAUACGUAAUGUGAAUUGCAGGGUUAAGUGAAUCAUCAAAUGUUUGAACGCAAGUUGCGCCGCUUCGGCGGCAUGCUUCUUUGAGUGUCGGUUUCCAUCUGUUGGACGAUUUGCUAAAAAUUGCCCUUGUUCAAAUUUGUUCAUGUCGGUUGAAAGAUUUGAUAUAUGGACAAAAUUGUUUUUGGUGGUGUCACAAAACAACAUCAACGAAACUUAAUACAAUGACCUCAAAUGAAGUAAGACGACCCGCUGAAUUUAAGCAUAUAAUUAAGCGGAGGAAAAGAAACUAACGAGGAUUCCCUCAGUAACGGCGAGUGAAGCGGGAAGAGUUCAAACCUGGAAUCGUCUCACGACGAAUUGUGGUGUGUAAACGCGUGUCUCAGUGGCUGUGCCGAUGGAAGUCGAUUGGAAAAUCGCAUCAGAGAGGGUGAAAAUCCCGUUCGACAUUGGAUCCGCAGUCACGUUCGAGCCGUUGUUUUUGAGUCGGGUUGCUUGGGAGUGCAGCCCUAAGUGGGUGGUAAAUUCCAUCUAAAACUAAAUAUGUGUGGGAGACCGAUAGCGAACAAGUACCGUGAGGGAAAGAUGAAAAGAACUUUGAAAAGAGAGUUAAAAGUACUUGAAAUUGUUUGGAUUGAAGGGAUGACGCCCAGUCGGUCAGGAUGGCUUGCUGGCGGGUUUGUUGCGCUCGGCGGGUAGGUAGCUCCUUCGCGGGAGUGUUUAGCCCCGGGCGCAAAUCCUGCCGGUGAGCGAGGUCGUGGAUAGAUCCUGACAAAAUGGUCGUCAUUCACCCGUCUUGAAACACGGACCAAGGAGUCUUACAUGUGUGCGAGUGUUAGUGUGAGGAAGCAUUAUCGCGUAAUGAAAGUGAAUUCGUUCAAACGAGGGCGACUACGGUACGACCCGGAGCAUACAUGCAGGGACCCGAAAGAUGGUGAACUAUGCCUGGGCAGGAUGAAGCCAGGGGAAACUCUGGUGGAGGUCCGAAGCGAUACUGACGUGCAAAUCGUUCGUGUGAGCUGGGUAUAGGGGCGAAAGACUAAUCGAACCGUCUGGUAGCUGGUUCCCUC
rnacentral:misc_RNA from 1 species